rnacentral:rRNA from 1 species
UGGGGGAUAUUGCACAAUGGGCGAAAGCCUGAUGCAGCGACGCCGCGUGGGGGAUGAAGGCCUUCGGGUUGUAAACUUCUUUUGCUCUGAACAAGGCAUGCUAAUGGGUGUGUUGAGUGUAGGGGUUGAUUAGCGCCGGCUAACUACGUGCCAGCAGCCGCGGUAAUACGUAGGGCGCGAGCGUUGUCCGGAAUUAUUGGGCGUAAAGGGCUUGUAGGUGGCUGGUUGCGUCUGUCGUGAAAGCUCAUGGCUUAACUGUGGGUUUGCGGUGGGUACGGGCUGGCUUGAGUGCAGUAGGGGAGGCUGGAAUUCCUGGUGUAGCGGUGGAAUGCGCAGAUAUCAGGAGGAAUACCGGUGGCGAAGGCGGGUCUCUGGGCUGUUACUGCCACUGAGGAGCGAAAGCAUGGGGAGCGAACAGG